rnacentral:rRNA from 1 species
GUUACCUACGGGAGGCAGCAGUGAGGAAUAUUGGUCAAUGGGAGAGAUCCUGAACCAGCCAAGCCGCGUGAGGGAAGACGGCCCUAUGGGUUGUAAACCUCUUUUGUCGGAGAACAAAACCCGGGACGAGUCCCGGACUGCGUGUAUCCGAAGAAAAAGCAUCGGCUAACUCCGUGCCAGCAGCCGCGGUAAUACGGAGGAUGCGAGCGUUAUCCGGAUUUAUUGGGUUUAAAGGGUGCGUAGGCGGCCUGCUAAGUCUGGAGUGAAAGGUACCGGCUCAACCGGUACAGGCUCUGGAAACUGGC